rnacentral:rRNA from 1 species
GAUGAACGCGUAGCGGGAGGCUUAACACAUGCAAGUCGAGGGGCAGCAUAGGGUAGCAAUACUCUGAUGGCGACCGGCAAACGGGUGAGUAACGCGUAUGCAACCUACCCUGUACAGGGGAUAACCCGGAGAAAUUCGGACUAAUAUCCCGUAAUAAUAUCCGGAGGCAUCUUUGGAUAUUUAAAGUUCCGACGGUACGGGAUGGGCAUGCGUAACAUUAACUGGUUGGUAAGGUAACGGCUUACCAAGGCUAUGAUGUUUAGGGGUCCUGAGAGGGUGGUCCCCCACACUGGUACUGAGACACGGACCAGACUCCUACGGGAGGCAGCAGUGAGGAAUAUUGGUCAAUGGGCGCAAGCCUGAACCAGCCAUCCCGCGUGCAGGAAGACGGCCCUAUGGGUUGUAAACUGCUUUUCCAGGGAGAGAAACUUACGCACGUGUUGCGUGACUGACGGUACCCUGGGAAUAAGCAUCGGCUAACUCCGUG